rnacentral:rRNA from 1 species
GAUGAACGCUGGCGGCGUGCCUAAUACAUGCAAGUCGAGCGAACAGAUGAGGAGCUUGCUCCUCUGACGUUAGCGGCGGACGGGUGAGUAACACGUGGAUAACCUACCUAUAAGACUGGGAUAACUUCGGGAAACCGGAGCUAAUACCGGAUAAUAUAUUGAACCGCAUGGUUCAAUAGUGAAAGACGGUUUUGCUGUCACUUAUAGAUGGAUCCGCGCCGCAUUAGCUAGUUGGUAAGGUAACGGCUUACCAAGGCAACGAUGCGUAGCCGACCUGAGAGGGUGAUAGGCGACACUGGAACGUGAACGCGGUCCAGACGCCUACGGGAGGCAGCAGUAGGGAAUCGUCCGCAAUGGGCGAAAGCCUGACGGAGCAACGCCGCGUGAGUGAUGAAGGUCUUCGGAUCGUAAAACUCUGUUAUUAGGGAAGAACAAAUGUGUAAGUAACUAUGCACGUCUUGACGGUACCUAAUCAGAAAGCCACGGCUAACUACGUG